UACAGAGGGGGCAAGCGUUAUUCGGAAUUAUUGGGCGUAAAGGGCGCGUAGGCGGCUUUUCAAGUGAGGGGUGAAAUCCCUCGGCUUAACCGAGGAACUGCCUGUCAGACUGGAAGGCUUGAGACCGGGAGAGGUGAGUGGAAUUCCCAGUGUAGCGGUGAAAUGCGUAGAUAUUGGGAGGAACACCAGUGGCGAAGGCGGCUCACUGGACCGGAACUGACGCUGAGGCGCGAAAGCGUGGGGAGCGAACAGG
rnacentral:rRNA from 1 species